rnacentral:rRNA from 1 species
AAAUUGAAGAGUUUGAUCAUGGCUCAGAUUGAACGCUGGCGGCAGGCCUAACACAUGCAAGUCGAGCGGUAGCACAGAGAGCUUGCUCUCGGGUGACGAGCGGCGGACGGGUGAGUAAUGUCUGGGAAACUGCCUGAUGGAGGGGGAUAACUACUGGAAACGGUAGCUAAUACCGCAUAAUGUCGCAAGACCAAAGUGGGGGACCUUCGGGCCUCAUGCCAUCAGAUGUGCCCAGAUGGGAUUAGCUAGUAGGUGGGGUAACGGCUCACCUAGGCGACGAUCCCUAGCUGGUCUGAGAGGAUGACCAGCCACACUGGAACUGAGACACGGUCCAGACUCCUACGGGAGGCAGCAGUGGGGAAUAUUGCACAAUGGGCGCAAGCCUGAUGCAGCCAUGCCGCGUGUGUGAAGAAGGCCUUCGGGUUGUAAAGCACUUUCAGCGGGGAGGAAGGCGUUAAGGUUAAUAACCUUGGCGAUUGACGUUACCCGCAGAAGAAGCACCGGCUAACUCCGUGCCAGCAGCCGCGGUAAUACGGAGGGUGCAAGCGUUAAUCGGAAUUACUGGGCGUAAAGCGCACGCAGGCGGUCUGUCAAGUCGGAUGUGAAAUCCCCGGGCUCAACCUGGGAACUGCAUUCGAAACUGGCAGGCUAGAGUCUUGUAGAGGGGGGUAGAAUUCCAGGUGUAGCGGUGAAAUGCGUAGAGAUCUGGAGGAAUACCGGUGGCGAAGGCGGCCCCCUGGACAAAGACUGACGCUCAGGUGCGAAAGCGUGGGGAGCAAACAGGAUUAGAUACCCUGGUAGUCCACGCCGUAAACGAUGUCGAUUUGGAGGUUGUGCCCUUGAGGCGUGGCUUCCGGAGCUAACGCGUUAAAUCGACCGCCUGGGGAGUACGGCCGCAAGGUUAAAACUCAAAUGAAUUGACGGGGGCCCGCACAAGCGGUGGAGCAUGUGGUUUAAUUCGAUGCAACGCGAAGAACCUUACCUGGUCUUGACAUCCACAGAACUUAGCAGAGAUGCUUUGGUGCCUUCGGGAACUGUGAGACAGGUGCUGCAUGGCUGUCGUCAGCUCGUGUUGUGAAAUGUUGGGUUAAGUCCCGCAACGAGCGCAACCCUUAUCCUUUGUUGCCAGCGGUUCGGCCGGGAACUCAAAGGAGACUGCCAGUGAUAAACUGGAGGAAGGUGGGGAUGACGUCAAGUCAUCAUGGCCCUUACGACCAGGGCUACACACGUGCUACAAUGGCAUAUACAAAGAGAAGCGACCUCGCGAGAGCAAGCGGACCUCAUAAAGUAUGUCGUAGUCCGGAUUGGAGUCUGCAACUCGACUCCAUGAAGUCGGAAUCGCUAGUAAUCGUAGAUCAGAAUGCUACGGUGAAUACGUUCCCGGGCCUUGUACACACCGCCCGUCACACCAUGGGAGUGGGUUGCAAAAGAAGUGGGUAGCUUAACCUUCGGGAGGGCGCUUACCACUUUGUGAUUCAUGACUGGGGUGAAGUCGUAACAAGGUAACCGUAGGGGAACCUGCGGUUGGAUCACCUCCUUA